UGAGAAUAAGAGCGAACUAACUAACUAGGAUGACUAAACAGAAAACUAUCCACACAAUCUAAACUUCAUCAUCACUAGAAAAAUCAAGCGGAAGACCAGUAUCAUCAUAACAGAUCC